rnacentral:rRNA from 1 species
ACUACUGGAAACGGUAGCUAAUACCGCAUAAUGUCGCAAGACCAAAGUGGGGGACCUUCGGGCCUCAUGCCAUCAGAUGUGCCCAGAUGGGAUUAGCUUGUAGGUGGGGUAACGGCUCACCUAGGCGACGAUCCCUAGCUGGUCUGAGAGGAUGACCAGCCACACUGGAACUGAGACACGGUCCAGACUCCUACGGGAGGCAGCAGUGGGGAAUAUUGCACAAUGGGCGCAAGCCUGAUGCAGCCAUGCCGCGUGUGUGAAGAAGGCCUUCGGGUUGUAAAGCACUUUCAGCGGGGAGGAAGGCGUUAAGGUUAAUAACCUCAUCGAUUGACGUUACCCGCAGAAGAAGCACCGGCUAACUCCGUGCCAGCAGCCGCGGUAAUACGGAGGGUGCAAGCGUUAAUCGGAAUUACUGGGCGUAAAGCGCACGCAGGCGGUCUGUCAAGUCGGAUGUGAAAUCCCCGGGCUCAACCUGGGAACUGCAUUCGAAACUGGCAGGCUAGAGUCUUGUAGAGGGGGGUAGAAUUCCAGGUGUAGCGGUGAAAUGCGUAGAGAUCUGGAGGAAUACCGGUGGCGAAGGCGGCCCCCUGGACAAAGACUGACGCUCAGGUGCGAAAGCGUGGGGAGCAAACAGGAUUAGAUACCCUGGUAGUCCACGCCGUAAACGAUGUCGAUUUGGAGGUUGUGCCCUUGAGGCGUGGCUUCCGGAGCUAACGCGUUAAAUCGACCGCCUGGGGAGUACGGCCGCAAGGUUAAAACUCAAAUGAAUUGACGGGGGCCCGCACAAGCGGUGGAGCAUGUGGUUUAAUUCGAUGCAACGCGAAGAACCUUACCUGGUCUUGACAUCCACAGAACUUACCAGAGAUGCAUUGGUGCCUUCGGGAACUGUGAGACAGGUGCUGCAUGGCUGUCGUCAGCUCGUGUUGUGAAAUGUUGGGUUAAGUCCCGCAACGAGCGCAACCCUUAUCCUUUGUUGCCAGCGGUCCGGCCGGGAACUCAAAGGAGACUGCCAGUGAUAAACUGGAGGAAGGUGGGGAUGACGUCAAGUCAUCAUGGCCCUUACGACCAGGGCUACACACGUGCUACAAUGGCAUAUACAAAGAGAAGCGACCUCGCGAGAGCAAGCGGACCUCAUAAAGUAUGUCGUAGUCCGGAUUGGAGUCUGCAACUCGACUCCAUGAAGUCGGAAUCGCUAGUAAUCGUAGAUCAGAAUGCUACGGUGAAUACGUUCCCGGGCCUUGUACACACCGCCCGUCACACCAUGGGAGUGGGUUGCAAAAGAAGUAGGUAGCUUAACCUUCGGGAGGGCGCUUACCACUUUGUGAUUCAUGACUGGGGUGAAGUCGUAACAAGGUAACCGUAGGGGAACCUGCGGUUGGAUCACCU